UACGGAGGGUGCAAGCGUUAUCCGGAUUCACUGGGUUUAAAGGGUGCGUAGGUGGAGUGGUAAGUCAGUGGUGAAAUCUCCAAGCUUAACUUGGAAACUGCCGUUGAUACUAUCAUUCUUGAAUAUCGUGGAGGUAAGCGGAAUAUGUCAUGUAGCGGUGAAAUGCUUAGAUAUGACAUAGAACACCGAUUGCGAAGGCAGCUUGCUACACGAUCAUUGACACUGAUGCACGAAAGCGUGGGGAUCAAACAGG
rnacentral:rRNA from 1 species